ACAGUAGAACAGACCAUGGAAGGAGACCAGAUUCUUGUGUUGACUGUUCUGAUGUUUAUUACUAGUGGAGACUUCAACAUUGUCAAUUAUAUGGCACAAGCUCAGCCUUAUGCUGGUUGCGAGUGUAGCUGUGAUUACCCAAACUUCACAUCUAGUAACGCAGCCGAGAGCAAGC
rnacentral:sRNA from 1 species